rnacentral:rRNA from 1 species
GACGAACGCUGGCGGCGUGCCUAAUACAUGCAAGUAGAACGCUGAAGGAGGAGCUUGCUUCUCUGGAUGAGUUGCGAACGGGUGAGUAACGCGUAGGUAACCUGCCUGGUAGCGGGGGAUAACUAUUGGAAACGAUAGCUAAUACCGCAUAAGAGUAGAUGUUGCAUGACAUUUGCUUAAAAGGUGCAAUUGCAUCACUACCAGAUGGACCUGCGUUGUAUUAGCUAGUUGGUGGGGUAACGGCUCACCAAGGCGACGAUACAUAACCGACCUGAGAGGGUGAUCGGCCACACUGGGACUGAGACACGGCCCAGACUCCUACGGGAGGCAGCAGUAGGGAAUCUUCGGCAAUGGACGGAAGUCUGACCGAGCAACGCCGCGUGAGUGAAGAAGGUUUUCGGAUCGUAAAGCUCUGUUGUAAGAGAAGAACGAGUGUGAGAGUGGAAAGUUCACACUGUGACGGUAUCUUACCAGAAAGGGACGGCUAACUACGUGCCAGCAGCCGCGGUAGUACGUAGGUCCCGAGCGUUGUCCGGAUUUAUUGGGCGUAAAGCGAGCGCAGGCGGUUAGAUAAGUCUGAAGUUAAAGGCUGUGGCUUAACCAUAGUACGCUUUGGAAACUGUUUAACUUGAGUGCAAGAGGGGAGAGUGGAAUUCCAUGUGUAGCGGUGAAAUGCGUAGAUAUAUGGAGGAACACCGGUGGCGAAAGCGGCUCUCUGGCUUGUAACUGACGCUGAGGCUCGAAAGCGUGGGGAGCAAACAGG